rnacentral:rRNA from 1 species
AAUCAACGCUGGCGGCGUGCCUCAGACAUGCAAGUCGAACGAUUAAAGCUCUCUUCGGAGAGUGCAUAGAGUGGCGCACGGGUGAGUAACACGUAAGUAAUCUACCCUCGAGUGGGGAAUAACAACCGGAAACGGUUGCUAAUACCGCAUAAUGCAGCGGCACCGCAAGGUGACAGUUGUUAAAGAUUUAUCGCUUGAGGAGGAGCUUGCGGCAGAUUAGCUAGUUGGUAAGGUAAUGGCUUACCAAGGCUACGAUCUGUAACCGGUCUAAGAGGACGGUCGGUCACACUGACACUGAAUAACGGGUCAGACUCCUACGGGAGGCAGCAGUCGGGAAUUUUGGGCAAUGGGCGAAAGCCUGACCCAGCAACGCCGCGUGAAGGAUGAAGUAUUUCGGU